AUUGAACGCUGGCGGAAUGCUUUACACAUGCAAGUCGAACGGCAGCACGGGGGCAACCCUGGUGGCGAGUGGCGAACGGGUGAGUAAUACAUCGGAACGUGCCCAGUCGUGGGGGAUAACGUAGCGAAAGUUACGCUAAUACCGCAUACGAUCUACGGAUGAAAGCGGGGGACCGUAAGGCCUCGCGCGACUGGAGCGGCCGAUGUCAGAUUAGGUAGUUGGGGAGGUAAAGGCUCACCAAGCCGACGAUCUGUAGCUGGUCUGAGAGGACGACCAGCCACACUGGGACUGAGACACGGCCCAGACUCCUACGGGAGGCAGCAGUGGGGAAUUUUGGACAAUGGGCGCAAGCCUGAUCCAGCCAUUCCGCGUGCAGGACGAAGGCCUUCGGGUUGUAAACUGCUUUUGUACGGAACGAAAAGGCUCUGGUUAAUACCUGGGGCUCAUGACGGUACCGUAAGAAUAAGCACCGGCUAACUACGUGCCAGCAGCCGCCGUAA
rnacentral:rRNA from 1 species